rnacentral:rRNA from 1 species
CCUACGGGAGGCAGCAGUGGGGAAUAUUGCACAAUGGGCGGAAGCCUGAUGCAGCGACGCCGCGUGAGGGAUGACGGCCUUCGGGUUGUAAACCUCUUUCAGUAGGGAAGAAGCGUAAGUGACGGUACCUGCAGAAGAAGCGCCGGCUAACUACGUGCCAGCAGCCGCGGUAAUACGUAGGGCGCAAGCGUUAUCCGGAAUUAUUGGGCGUAAAGAGCUCGUAGGCGGUUUGUCGCGUCUGCCGUGAAAGUCCGGGGCUCAACUCCGGAUCUGCGGUGGGUACGGGCAGACUAGAGUGAUGUAGGGGAGACUGGAAUUCCUGGUGUAGCGGUGAAAUGCGCAGAUAUCAGGAGGAACACCGAUGGCGAAGGCAGGUCUCUGGGCAUUAACUGACGCUGAGGAGCGAAAGCAUGGGGAGCGAACAGGAUUAGAUACCCUGGUAGUCCAUGCCGUAAACGUUGGGCACUAGGUGUGGGGGACAUUCCACGUUUUCCGCGCCGUAGCUAACGCAUUAAGUGCCCCGCCUGGGGAGUACGGCCGCAAGGCAAAACUUAAUGAAUUGACGG